GGGAACAAGGAGCUGGUAUCAGGCACACCCAUCUCAAGGCCCACGACGCCUUGCUUAGCCACACCCUCAAGGGUAGUCAGCAGUGAUAGACCUUAAGCCAUAAGUGAAAACUUGACUUAGUCAAAGCUAAGAGGGUCGGUAAAACUCGUGCCAGCCACCGCGGUUAUACGAGAGACCCAAGUUGAUAGACCCCGGCGUAAAGAGUGGUUAAGGAAAAGCUAACACUAAAGCCGAACGUCUUCAAUACUGUUAUACGCAUCCGAAGAUAAGAAGCCCAACUACGAAAGUGGCUUUACACCCCACCCCGAACCCACGAAAGCUAUGACACAAACUGGGAUUAGAUACCCCACUA
rnacentral:rRNA from 1 species